AUUGAACGCUGGCGGCAGGCCUAACACAUGCAAGUCGAGCGAGCGGCGGACGGGUGAGUAAUGUAUGGGGACUGCCCGCUAGAGGGGGAUAGCUACUGGAAACGGGGGCUAAUACCGCAUACUAUCGGGUAACCCAUAUGGGAUUAGCUAGUAGGUGGGGUAAAGGCUCCCGUAGGCGACGAUCUCUAGCUGGGCUGAGAGGAUGAUCAGCCACACCGGGACUGAGACACGGCCCAGACUCCCACGGAGGUAGCAGUGGGGAAUGUGGGACAAUGUGCGCAAGGGUGACCAAGCUACGCCGGUGGGAUGAAGAAGGUUUUGGGGUCGUAAAGGUCUUUUGGCGGGGAGGCGUUAGCUGAAGAAGAAGCACCGGCUAACUACGUGCCAGCAGCCGCGGUAAUUC
rnacentral:rRNA from 1 species